AGGAUGAACGCUGGCGGCGUGCUUAACACAUGCAAGUCGAACGAUGAAGGCUGGAGCUUGCUCUGGCUGGAUUAGUGGCGAACGGGUGAGUAACACGUGAGUAACCUGCCCCCCGACUCUGGGAUAAGCGCCGGAAACGGCGUCUAAUACCGGAUACGAGCUUCCGCCGCAUGGUGAGGAGCUAGGAAAGAAUUUCGGUCUGGGAUGGACUCGCGGCCUAUCAGUCUUGUUGGUGAGGUAAUGGCUCACCAAGGCGACGACGGGUAGCCGGCCUGAGAGGUGACCGGCCACACUGGGACUGAGACGACGGCCCAGACUCCGUACGGGAGGCGAGCAGUGGGAAUAGUUGCACAAGUGGGACGACGAAGCCGUGA
rnacentral:rRNA from 1 species